rnacentral:rRNA from 1 species
CAGCCGCCGCGGUAAUACGUAGGGUGCGAGCGUUAAUCGGAAUUACUGGGCGUAAAGCGUGCGCAAACGGUUUGUUAAGACAGAUGUGAAAUCCCCGGGCUUAACCUGGGAACUGCAUUUGUGACUGGCCGGCUAGAGUAUGGCAGAGGGAGGUGGAAUUCCACGUGUAGCAGUGAAAUGCGUAGAUAUGUGGAGGAACACCGAUGGGGAAGGCAGCCUCCUGGGCCAAUACUGACGCUCAUGCACGAAAGCGUGGGGAGCAAACAGGAUUAGAUACCCCCGUAGUCCCUGUCUCUUAUAU